rnacentral:rRNA from 1 species
AUACGAAGGGACCUAGCGUAGUUCGGAAUUACUGGGCUUAAAGAGUUCGUAGGUGGUUGAAGAAGUUAGUGGUGAAAUCCCAGAGCUUAACUCUGGAACUGCCAUUAAAACUUUUUAGCUAGAGUAUGAUAGAGGAAAGCAGAAUUUCUAGUGUAGAGGUGAAAUUCGUAGAUAUUAGAAAGAAUACCAAUUGCGAAGGCAGCUUUCUGGAUCAUUACUGACGCUGAGGAACGAAAGCAUGGGUAGCGAAGAGGAUUAGAUACCCUCGUAGUCCAUGCCGUAAACGAUGUGUGUUAGACGUUGGAAAUAUAUUUUUCAGUGUCGCAGCGAAAGCAUUAAGCACACCGCCUGGGGAGUACGACCGCAAGGUUAAAACUCAAAUGAAUUGACGGGGACCCGCACAAGCAGUGGAGCAUGUGGUUUAAUUCGUAGAUACGCGCAGAACCUUACCAACACUUGACAUGUUCGUCGCGAGACCAAGAGAUUGGUUUCUUCAUUUAGUUGGACGAAACACAGGUGC